CGCACAUUGCGCCCUCUGGCAUUCCGGGGGGCAUGCCCGUUCGAGCGUCAUUAAAUCCAAUCAAGCCUGGCUUGGUAUUGGGCGUCGGGACGUCCCCGCGCCCCAAUUUCACCGGCUGGCCGUCGCCCGUCUUAGCGUUGUGACAUACAAUAAUUCGCUUUCCGACGGGGUCGGGCAAGUUUAGCCGUUAAGCGCAACGAAUUUCAAUCGAAAUUUGAUUAAAGGUUGACCUCGGAUCGGGUAGGAAUACCCGCUGAACUUAA
rnacentral:misc_RNA from 1 species